UCAUAUAAGAAGUAGAAACAAAAGGAUCAGAAGAAGAACAAGAAAUGUACAACAGAAAAACCCUAACAGAGCUCCAAAUCCUACAAAAUAGAACAAAAUAAUUGAGCUCUUCUUCAAAUCCCGUAAACGAAGGAUGCAUUACUUCACGUCUCUUCAUCAUGCUCCUACAAUUCGAACUAUUUGUUUCAGUUUACAGAAGCUUGAAAUCACAAAAAAUUGUGACUUCCUUCUUCAGUUAAGAAGUUGGAAUCAUUUUGGAAUUUUCUCUCUGUGCUUCCAAAUCGGAGACAAGCCAGUGAGGAAGUCAUAAGUUUGCCAGGUGCAUCUCUGUUUAUGUAUCUUUUUAUUGUGUUUUACAUUUCCUUCAAGAUUUGGUGCAAGCAUCAUCUUCUUCUCAAGGUGACUCUUUUAGCUUCAGAAGUUGCUUUCUUGAACUUUUGCUUCAAUUUUGGUGACCAUUUUAGUUUUAGUCGUUGUUUCGUUGCAAUUGGUAAUAGUUUCAUAUCCAGCUUUAUGUAGUUACUGUCCUGUUAUAGCUUUUUUUUCGAAAUCCCUUCUGUUGUUUAGAGCUUAUCUUAUCUACAAAAAGUAUAUGGAUGCUUGUGAGUUGAUGAGUUUAAUGUGCCAUAAACUUUUUGGUGGAAAUAUGCUAAGGAAGGAAAAAAUUACAGAACUCGUCUUAUUUGAGUAUUUGUGACAGACACUUGGCUGAUGACUCGAAUGACUCUAGUGCCUCCGCAAGUGACAAUCUACGAUUCGUCCAAGCUGUUUCAGCCCACUGCUUCAUUUUUUCACCUUCUGCCUUUCUGUUUUGUUGCACGAUAAUUGUCUCUGCAUACCCACCUUCUACUUUCAAGGGUAGAUCUUUGAGCACUUCAAUUUCUCUUCUAUGGAGUCCCUCUUGAAUGAAAAACGAUUUUGUGUUGGACUUGGGUGACUAAAUAGUGUAAGUAUGUAUAAUGCACAUGAUUUUAUGUUAUUUCUUUGAUCCCUUAUUUGAAAUCACAUAAAUUUCAUAGACUUGACUAACUUGAAGGGAAAUUUAUGUUUGUAUUAUAAAAAUACAAUUUUUUCGCUUAGUUAAAUGAUGAUGUGGAACCCUUCUUAAAUUAGAUAUUUGUGGUGUGGUCAUUUCUGUUUAAAUUUGAAUUUUAUUUAAGUAAUUACUAACUAAUUAAUAAACUAUUAAGUACUAAGAGAAGUCUUUUAUCAUUGUUUGUUAGAUAGGAAGCAUGAGUUCCAUUAGAGUUGAUCGCAUGUGGAUAUAUAAGAGACUAGUGUCAAGUCGAACAACAGUCACUUCUAAUUUUAUAGAAGGUGUGCGUUGAUUUAUAGAGUUUACAUUAAUGCAACCUGAUUUUGUUAGAAUGGAAGUAUAAGGUGCCCUUGUUCAAAAUGUAAAAACAGUAGUCGGUUUCCUGAACCUCAUAAUAUUUGAUCUCAUUUAUACAAGCAUGAUUUCAUGACAAACUAUUAUCAAUGGGAAUCACAUGGGGAGCCUUUUCUUCCAAUUUCUAGGCCUCAACCUAGUACAUAUAUAGGUGAUGAAAUAGGUGCUAAUAGAACACCAAUAAAUCCAUAUCGUACUACGGUCUUGGAUGCAGCUGGUCCUAGUUUCAACUUAGACAGUGAUGCGUUUGAUAGGAAUGUUGAUGAAAAUAACCUCCUAAUCAAAAAAAAUGUUGAAAGCUGCUGAAGAGCCAUUGUUUGAUGGAUGUCGGACUCAUUCUCCCCUAUCAGUAGUGUGCAGGUUGUUGAACAUUAAGUCAGAGUCUAACAUGAGUGACAAUUUCUAUAAUCAAAUUUUGCUAUUUUUGAAUGAGCUCUUACCUGAAAAUGCAAAAUUACCUUUUGAUUACUAUAGGACUAAAAAAAUGGUUGCAAAACUUGGGCUAGAAUAUGAAAAGAUAGAUGUAUGUCAGACCAGUUGUAUCCUAUAUUACAAGGAUAAUAAAGACAAAAGAAAUUGUCCUAAGUGUGGUAAACCGCGCUACAAGCCUAAGAGAAGACGCAGUGGAAGGCAAAAAGAUGUUCUAUAUAAAGCAUUCUAUUACUUUUCUAUUACUCCGAGGUUGUAGAGAUUAUAUAUGUCAACAAAGACAGCUAAACAUAUGACAUGGCACUGGAAAUACCGUCGUGAACCUAGGGUAAUGAGUCCAAGUGAUGGAGAGGCAUAGAAGAAGUUUGAUAAGUGUCAUCCUAACUUUGCAAGCCAGCCUUGAAAUAUAAGACUUGGACUUGGAGCUGAUGGAUUUAGUCCUUGUGGGAAUAUGGGCCAUCCUUAUUCUUGUUGGCCAGUAAUCAUUACACCAUAUAAUCUUCCACCCGAAAUAUGCAUGACUAGCCCUUAUAUGUUCUUAAGUCUUCUCAUUCCCGGUUCAAAGAGUCAUGGAAAGAAUAUAGAUAUAUUCUUAGAAUCUCUUAUUGAUGAAUGCGUUGAUGGGGUUGAGAUUUAAGAUUCUCAUAAGAAACAAAAUUUUCAAAUGCGAGUUGCAGUUAUGUGGACUGUUAAUGAUUUCCCAACUUAUGGAAUGUUGUCUGGUUGGAUCACACAUGGUCUAUUAUCAUGCCCUUGUUGUAUGGGUAAAAGUAAGGCAUUUUACUUAAAACAUGGGAGAAAAGGUUCAUUCUUUGAUUGCCAUCGUAAAUUUUUGCAUAUGGGUCAUCCAUUUCGACGGGAUAGAAAGUCAUUUUAAAGAGGAAGGGUUGAGAACUCCACUCCUCCUCUUAGGUUGUAUGGUGAAGAAGUUUGGAACAAAGUGUGUACCUUACCAAAAGUGUGUGAUCAUGACACCUCUUGUAAGUUGCCAGGGUUUGGGGAUCAACAUAAUUGGAAAAAACAAAGCAUUUUUUGGGAAUUGCCAUAUUGGAAUACAAAUAUUAUUCGGCAUAAUCUUGAUGUGAUGCAUAUUAAGAAAAAUGUGUUUGAUAAUAUAUUCAACUCAAUAAUGGAUCUAAAGGAUAAAACAAAAGACAAUUUAAAUGCUAAAAGGGAUGUGCAAAAUUGUUGCAAUCGUCCAGAGCUUGAAUUGCUGGAGCAUGAAGGAAAAAUUAUGAAGCCAAAGGCAGCAUAUUUAUUGACAAAAGAACAAAGAAAGUUCAUAUGUGAAUGGUUGAAAAGCUUAAGGUUUCCAGAUGGUUAUGCUUCAAAUUUGUCUAGAUGUGUAGACAUGGAAGAUUGUAAAUUAUCAAGGAUGAAGAGUCAUGACUAUCAUGUAUUUCUAGAAAGGUUGCUACCAAUUGCAUUUCGAGAUCUUUUGCCAGAGCCAAUUUGGAAUGCUUUAACAAAGAUAAGUUUAUUUUUUUUAAGGAUUAUGCGCAAAUAUGUUAAACGUAGAAGAUCUCCAGAAGCUUGACGAAAGCAUAAAGGUUACAAUUUGCAAGAUAGAGAAAAUAUUUCCUCCUGGUUUCUUUGAUCCCAUGGAACAUUUGCCAAUUCAUUUACCAUAUGAAGCAAUAGCUCAAGGUCAUGUCCAUUUUCGAUGGAUGUACCCUUUUGAGCGGUAAAAAUCUAACAUAUAUCAUUGAUUAGAUAUUUAAUCUAAUUACCUAAUAUCGCACUAACUAUAUAUGUACCAAUGCAGAGAAAUACACACUUAAAAGAAGAUGGUGAAAAAUAGAUAUCACGUUGAGGGAUCAAUAUGUGAAGCUUAUAUCAUUAAAGAAAUUUCAACAUUCUUUUCUCAUUAUUUCAAGCCUAAUGUGCAAACUAGGUUCAACAAAGUUACUCGUAAUGAUGAUGGAGGUGAAGUUGAUGCACCCAAUGGUUGUCUAUCCAUCUUUUUGCAUCCCGGGCGUCCGAGUGGUGAGAUGAAUGGUCGUUAUUUGUCUGAUAAGGAGUGGGAUGCAACAAGAAUAUAUGUUUUGUUGAAUUAUGAGGAGAUUCAACAAUUUAUCCCUAUCUUUGAAGGUGAGUUGAAAAGAAAUUCAGAAAAUAUCAGUCUUGAGGAAAUUGAUAAAGAGACGAAUAGUAGAUUUGCCAACUGGUUCGAAGCUUAUGUGAGUAAAAUACUAUAGUAUGAAGAAGUUGUUGUUUUUAUUAAUCUACAUCAAGUAAUAAUCUAUACAUAACUAUAUAGAUCAUCGGCCUACUUUGUGUAUUUUUUAGGUUCUCAAUCCAGCUAACAACAUAAGUGAUGAGCAGUUAAGAGACUUGGCUUCUGGUCCUCAUAAGUGGGUGCAAACUUGGCCUCAAUAUUUUACAAAUGGCUAUAGGUUUCACACACUUAGACAUGGCUCUAACAGAUCAACUAUGAAUAGUGGUGUGUGCAUAAAAGGGACAACUUGGAAUGACUAAGAAACUGACUAUUAUGGAUUGCUUGGUGAGGUGAUACAACUUGAAUAUUCCAAUCCAACAAAGAAAAGAACCACUCUUGUCUUGUUCAAAUGUGAUUGGUUUGAUCCAGCAAUGGGUCGAGGGUGUAAGGUUCAUAAUCAGUAUGGGCUGAUUGAUAUCAAUCAUAAAAAAGGUUCUCGACCUAUGCUUUUGAACCUUUUGUAUUGGUUGAACAAUCGCAACAAGUCUAUUUUGCAGAAUAUCCCUGUAAAAAGAAAGAUAGUAUUGACUGGUGGGCAGUGUGUAAAAUAAAAUCUAGAAUUAAAAUUGAUUCUCCAAAUAUGCCAUACCAAGAAGAUGACAAUUUACCCCAAUAAUCCCAAAUAUCAGGGAUGAUCUUGAUAGCUAUCAAAAGUGAUGAAAUGACAGUGGAUUCUGAUUUUGAACUCUCUGAAGAAAAAACUUUGAAACCGAUGAUAGUGAAUGACAAUGACUUUUAACUAUAAUUUCUUUUUUGGAGUGUUUUCUUUUAUUACUAUUGCUACCUUUUGAUAUUGCUUGAUGUCAUUUCUUAAACCUAAAUAUUUCUUUUCGAAGUUGAUUCAUCAAGCUGUUAAAAUGGUUAUAAUAGUGAACAUUGAGUGCAUAUAAGCUUCAUUAUUUUCUCUACAUUAAUCAUUUUUAUAGCAUGAAAUGUUGAAAUUUUUUUAAGUGUCUUCUUUGAGUAUUAUUCUAUAGUUCUUGUUAGAUUUUUAUGGGGAAAUAUGAGAAUAGGAAGAGGCAUUAAACGUAGUUGGGGAGGCCGUGGAGGCAUAACUAACAAAGGAGGAGGAGGCAGCAAGCUACGAGCAGAGACUUCUCAAAAGGGUGUUAGUGAAUCAUCAAUUCCUACAUCUCAGCAAGUUGGUUUAAACCAGUGUAUUGUCUCAUCACAUGAAAGUAGUUCUCAACAGAUUGUACAUACAUCUCAAGAAGCCAAUGCUCAACAAAUGACUACUCCUGAAAAUCUUGCUGGUCAACAAGAGGCUCCUACUUCUCUAGAUGUUGGAUGACAAGAAACACCUUUGUCUCAGAAUGUUGGUGCUCAACAAGAAACUCCAACUCAAGAUUUCUCCUGAACGUACACUCACAUCUUUUGAAAGUAGUAAUCCACAGGGCAGACAAGAUACACUUGGUGGCAUAAAAUCCUUGAGAAUUAAUGGAGAUACAAGGAACUAACUUGUAAAGAGCUUCGGAACGAUGAAUUAUUUCUGAUGACUCACUAAAGGAAAAACGAAAAGAAGUGGAUCUGUGGAAUGUCAGAAAGGAUGUGGAUCUAGUUUACAAAUACAAUUAAGGAUAAUGUGGGUGAGACUUCAACAUUAAGGAAUGAAGAAGGUCUUGAAGUAGAUGAAGGAGACAUGGAGAGAAACACGGCCACAAAUGGAGAAGGCGAAGGAGAAAAACUAGUGAAGAUGAUGUGAAUUUAUUGAAAAUGGUAUCGGAGCAGUAAUUACUGAAAACAUGGAUAGAAACAGUUGGGGGAACUAAAAAAGGAAAAAUAUACGGUCUUGGUUCUAGAAAUUGUUUGCUGGCAGAUUCAAAGAAUUCUAAUUGUGCAUUCUCUACUGCUCAGAGUCCUUCAAAUAUUCUAACUCAACAAAUAUUUGAAACACCUUAAUUUCAGCAACUCUUAACCGCGUGUUGGAGCAACGGAUGACGAAUAUGCAAGAUCAUGUGCAAAUGGAUAUUCGGGAAAAUAUGAAAGCUCAAGUUACUAUUACAGUUUUGCUCGGGUGCUUGGUUUUACUCCUCAACUACCACCAGAUGGAUCUGGUUCUACCCCAAAUUCACCUUAAGAUAAUUUAUAUUAUUGUUUUUAUGUUUUAAGACAUUUGUGUUACUGUUUUUAUGUUUUAAGACAUGUUUUAGCUAGUAAACAUUUACUUCACUAUUUCAAGGAUUGAUGAUGAUUUAACUUUGUUUUU